UGACCAGGAAUCAACCAUGCUCUCCUGGUUCAUAGGUCGACACUUAACCACUGAGCCUUGCCAGCGGGGUGAGCUACAAAUUUCAGAGUAGUCCUACUUCCUAUCUUUUUUUUUCUUGUCCUCUCGUAACUUGAUUGUGUAUUGGUCGUGUAUCCACAUUACUGUGAUUAUGUCUGUAUUACAAAUUCUAUGAAGAAAGGCCGGACUCGAGCAUUUUUUGCUGAGCCUUUCCGUUUUGUUAUAGGAGUAAUAAUAGGUGAAGGAUUGAGCAUCUAUUGGUAGAAAAUUGGGAAAGCACUAUAUUCAAUUUUUCUACACUCCUCCCCAACCCCAUUUUUCGGUUGCAGUUGCCAUUGAGUUCUAUUUAUUAUUAUUAUUAUUAUUAUUAUUAUUAUUAUUAUUAUUGCUUUAAAGCUGAAGGAGGAAUUCUGUGACAGACUUUAAUCCUCAGAUUUGAAUUUAGCUGUUACUUGUCUGCACUGUCUUGAUUUUGUUUUGGUAAGGGGGUUGUUUUACAUUCAAUUGGAAAGCAGAAUAGGAAAAUAUUUUAAAACUCUUAACACGUUGUGCUAGGUGGUCUUACCAUUAUCUCUAGUUUUUGUUUUUAUUUUGUUUUCUUUUCCCCCAAGAAGUUAAGAGUUAGGGAUACGAUGCUUGUUUUCCUAGGCUGAACAGUUGAGAGUUUCCUAUGAGGCUCUUGCUGUUCCUCUUUGGAACCUACUUGGUCUUCAGAGGUCCUGGCGUUUUGAAGAAACACGAAAUAGCUGUUUGGAAUAUAUCCAUCUUAAAUGGUAUUUCUGUGAGCAGGGGUUCCGAGUUCCAGAGAAACUAUGGGUGCUUGGGGUAGUGAAAGGACAAGGGUAGGGGGUGUCUAAAAAUUGAGAGAACUCUAUCUUACGCACAGUUUGUUGUCUUUUGCUAAGCUCAGACGCCAGGUUGUGUUUGUUUUCAAGAAAUCUGAUAAAUUUACCCAGGUGUUCCAGUGUGCAUUUUGACAUGUUUGUGUUUUUAAAUAUUUUAAUUUAAAAAGUUACAUAACAGUUGAGUCAGGUUUAGCAGGAUUGAUCUCUUACUUCCUAUAGAGGUGACAUAGACACCAGAAGUAUGUCCAGGAACUUAAUUGAGAUUCAUAGUGUCCAGAAGACUGUAUGUAGCAGUAGCUAUGUCCUGACUCACUGACAGGCUCUGAAAGGAUUUAUAUGCUGACCGACAGACUCUAGUGGGGUCCGUAUGCUGACCGAUUGACAGACAUUAGUAGGGUCCGUAUGCCGACUGACUGACUCUGGUAGGGUCUGUAUGUUGACUCACAGACUCUAUUAGGGUCUGUAUGCUGACUGACUGACACUCUAUUAGGGUUUGUAUGCUGACUGACAGACACUAGUAGGGUCUGUGACUGACAGACUCUAGUAGGUCUGUGUGCUGACUGACAGACUCUAGUAGGGUCUAUGUGCUGACUCUACUAGGAUAUGUAAGCUGACAGUCUGACUGUUUUGUUACUGUACCAGUUGGUCGUAUAUUAUUGUAGUUCUCUGUCUAUUGCAUGUGUCCUACAAAGAAAGGAAGUAAACACUCCACAUGUGUUCUUUAGGGGGAAGUUCUGUAAAUUAUGAUUUUUAAUAGACCUUGCUUUUAGAGUAGCAGCCAAAUUUCAUCAUUUUUAGAAAAUGAAGGUUGUGUAUCACUUGUAUGACAUUUUGGAAACUCAGCUAAGGAAAUGUCUGCUCAAAGCCUGAAAUGAUUGUUCUACUUGAAGUCAUUUCAUUCAUUCCCCAACGUCUAGGCAGAUUUCGCUUUUACCACCUGUGUCUGAACCUCCUGUGUCCACAGCUUCGCUGUUAUUGAAUGUAGCACUCCAUUGGGUAAUGUGGUGAUGUUAGUCUGCCAUGCAUUUGGCACUUAUUCAUGACCUAAUAAAUAAAGAUGCAAAGGUAAUUUUGCAUUCAAAAUUGAUUUUAAGAGGUGGUAAAGUAUUAUUUUUAGUAAGCCUUUCAUUGGGGAUCUAUGAACCAAUAUUUACUAUUCAAUGUUUUUGUGUGUGAAUUGCUUUUGUACAUUUUUUUUUAUUGUGUUGAAGUAACUAGAUCAACUUAUUCUGACACGGUAAUGGUUUUGCUAUGGCAAAAGCAAAGGACUGAUCACCAACUGUGCCCGGGUUGGGAAUGGGCUGAGUACUACUGGGUUGAAUAGGAAUGGACUGAAUUGGGAACCCAAGCAAUAGAAUUAUCCUGCUGAUUUCCUAGGCACAGCUCUGUUGAAAGAAGGAAUGUAAGUCCUUAACAGCAUUCUGAUUUAAUCUGGUGACAUUGAUAUCAAAAUAUGCCACUCAGAUCCACAGAAGGUGUGUAUAACUGUAUUUGAAAUGUGUUUUGUGUGUGUGUGCAGAAUGGGUAAAUAAAGUUGUUGAGUAACUUGAACCUA